UACGUAGGGGGCUAGCGUUGUCCGGAAUCAUUGGGCGUAAAGCGCGUGUAGGCGGUCCGGUAAGUCCGCUGUGAAAGUCGGGGGCUCAACCCUCGGAUGCCGGUGGAUACUGUCGGGCUUGAGUACGGAAGAGGCGAGUGGAAUUCCUGGUGUAGCGGUGAAAUGCGUAGAUAUCUGGAGGAACACCGGUGGCGAAGGCGGCAUUCUGGACCGACAUUGACGCUGAGGAGCGAAAGCCAGGGGAGCAAACGGG
rnacentral:rRNA from 1 species